CAGCCGCCACGGGAAUACGUAGGGUGCGAGCGUUAAUCGGAAUUACUGGGCGUAAAGCGAGCGCAGACGGUUAUUUAAGCAGGAUGUGAAAUCCCCGGGCUUAACCUGGGAACUGCGUUCUGAACUGGAUAGCUAGAGUGUGUCAGAGGGGGGUAGAAUUCCACGUGUAGCAGUGAAAUGCGUAGAGAUGUGGAGGAAUACCGAUGGCGAAGGCAGCCCCCUGGGAUAACACUGACGUUCAUGCUCGAAAGCGUGGGUAGCAAACAGGAUUAGAUACCCGUGUAGUCCCUGUCUCUUAUAC
rnacentral:rRNA from 1 species